rnacentral:rRNA from 1 species
UACAGAGGUCUCAAGCGUUGUUCGGAUUCAUUGGGCGUAAAGCGUGCGUAGACGGUUAUGUAAGUCGGGUGUGAAAGCCCCGGGCUCAACCUGGGAAUUGCAUUCGAGACUGCAUAGCUAGGGUGCGGAAGAGGGAAGCGGAAUUCCAGGUGUAGCGGUGAAAUGCGUAGAUAUCUGGAGGAACACCGGUGGCGAAGGCGGCAUCCUGGACCGACACUGACGCUGAGGAGCGAAAGCCAGGGGAGCAAACGGG